rnacentral:rRNA from 1 species
UACGUAGGGGGCUAGCGUUGUCCGGAAUCAUUGGGCGUAAAGCGCGUGUAGGCGGCCCGGUAAGUCCGCUGUGAAAGUCGGGGGGCUCAACCCUCGAAAGCCGGUGGAUACUGUCGGGCUCGAGUACGGAAGAGGCGAGUGGAAUUCCUGGUGUAGCGGUGGAAUGCGCAGAUAUCAGGAGGAACACCGAUGGCGAAGGCAGCUCGCUGGGACGGUACUG